rnacentral:rRNA from 1 species
AGAUUGAACGCUGGCGGCAGGCCUAACACAUGCAAGUCGAGCGGUAGAGAGGCGCUUGCAUCUCUUGAGAGCGGCGGACGGGUGAGUAAUGCCUAGGAAUCUGCCUGGUGGUGGGGGAUAACGUUCGGAAACGGACGCUAAUACCGCAUACGUCCUACGGGAGAAAGCGGGGGACCUUCGGGCCUCGCGCCAUUAGAUGAGCCUAGGUCGGAUUAGCUAGUUGGUGAGGUAAUGGCUCACCAAGGCGACGAUCCGUAACUGGUCUGAGAGGAUGAUCAGUCACACUGGAACCGAGACACGGUCCAGACUCCGUACGGAGGCAGCAGUGGGAAUAGUUGGACAAGUGGGACGAAAGCCUGAAUCCAGCCAUGUCGCGUGUGUGAAGAAGGUCUUCGGAUUGUAAAGCACGUUUAAGUUGGGAGGUAAGGUUAGUAAACCUAAGUACGUUAGCUAAACGUCUAGAACGUUACCGACUAAGAAUAAGCACCGCUAACGUUCGCGCCAGCGACGCCGUACG